rnacentral:rRNA from 1 species
GACGAACGCUGGCGGCGUGCCUAAUACAUGCAAGUAGAACGCUGAAGAGAGGAGCUUGCUCUUCUUGGAUGAGUUGCGAACGGGUGAGUAACGCGUAGGUAACCUGCCUUGUAGCGGGGGAUAACUAUUGGAAACGAUAGCUAAUACCGCAUAACAAUAGGUGACACAUGUCAUUUAUUUGAAAGGGGCAAUUGCUCCACUACAAGAUGGACCUGCGUUGUAUUAGCUAGUAGGUGAGGUAACGGCUCACCUAGGCGACGAUACAUAGCCGACCUGAGAGGGUGAUCGGCCACACUGGGACUGAGACACGGCCCAGACUCCUACGGGAGGCAGCAGUAGGGAAUCUUCGGCAAUGGGGGCAACCCUGACCGAGCAACGCCGCGUGAGUGAAGAAGGUUUUCGGAUCGUAAAGCUCUGUUGUAAGUCAAGAACGAGUGUGAGAGUGGAAAGUUCACACUGUGGCGGUAGCUUACCAGAAAGGGACGGCUAACUACGUG